rfam:Dipodomys ordii contig_72079, whole genome shotgun sequence.
GGUGGCUCAGAGGUAGAGCACUUGCCUUGCAUGCAUGAGGCCCUGGGUUCGAUUCCUUAGCACCA